GACGAACGCUGGCGGCGUGCUUAACACAUGCAAGUCGAACGAGUGGCGAACGGGUGAGUAACACGUGGGUGAUCUGCCUUGCACUUCGGGAUAAGCCUGGGAAACUGGGUCUAAUACCGGAUAGUGCAAGAUGAGCCCGCGGCCUAUCAGCUUGUUGGUGGGGUAAUGGCUACCAAGGCGCGACGGGUAGCCGGCCUGAGAGGGUGUACGGCCACAUUGGGACUGAGACACGGCCCAGACUCCUACGGGAGGCAGCAGUGGGGAAUAUUGCACAAUGGGCGCAAGCCUGAUGCAGCGACGCCGCGUGAGUGAAGAAGGUUUUCGGAUCGUAAAGCUCUGUUGUUAGAAAAGCGGUAACUAACCAGAAAGGGACGGCUAACUACGUGCCAGCCGCCGCGGUAAUAC
rnacentral:rRNA from 1 species